AUUGUGAUUACCAAAUGCUGUGUAAAAUAUUCAAUUUUGUUAGGUCGCCAGUGAAGAAAACAUAAGCCUUCAUGUCUCAGCACCACAGUUUUACUCAGUUUAGACGAGACUUUCAGUUUUAAGAUUGUUUACUUCAAAAUAACUUUGACAGAGGAAGGAAAGGAGUGGCUAAAGCUAUGAAACGUGAAGCAAAAAAACUGCGCCAUUUAGGAACUAGUCCUAUACCAUACGCAAUCAACAUGGGAAUGUGUUUGCCGAAGGAAUCACAGAGACCUACCCAGUGUGAGGAUAAUCCAGAGCCCAGCGAAUAUUGGGUUCUGUCUGAUGGCCUACACCAUGUACGCGCACCAACAUCUACGACAAUGUCCAGUGUGAGGCCAUUACAGAGAUCCCGGAGUUUGAGCUUGUCUCUGAUGAUGCUCUACAACAACAACCAACCCUCACCUUCUUCAGCCACUGGGGUUUGGUCCUCCAUAGCCAAAUAGCCACUGCAGCACGCACACAGAAUUCCAGUUGUCGGACUCGGACACAAGAAUUGAGGUAGGCUAAGAAAACAUUACAAAACUAAAGAAAGUUCCAAAAUGAUAGGCCUACCGACCAUGUUAUUUUGACUAAAACAUAAAAACAAUAUUACAUGAAGCUCAUAAAACAGUAUUUGCGCUCAAAUGAAUUCGAAAAUGAAUGUGCGCUGGCAUUAACUAUCGAUGUCCCUGCCAAAGACCCCAGGUGAAGUGUACGUGUAGGAAUGCCGAGGUCAAGCAGGCCAACAUGGGAGUCGAGUUUGUGGCUCGGGGUCUGGCGUGAUCACAAUGGGCCACUCUCAGCGGCGCUACGUCACAAACCCUACAUACUAUCAUACUAACCCUAAGUACUUCUACCUUUGUAGAUAAUGUUGUACGAGACUUAUCAGGUCAAACUGUAGUUUCUCUGGUAAAGAAGGGUGUGUUUCUGUGUCGUCUGAAUGGAACCAUUUAUAAAUUCAAGACCCAAAGAAGUGUGGGUCAAGUGUGUUUUAUGUAGUUUUUGGGCCCACCAGGCAUGCACUCCAAUGACCAAUUUCAUUGGUCACCAUUGUGACUCUGAUUAACAAUUGCAUUUUAUUUGUUUGUUCUUUUCACCAUUGUGACUGAUAAAGAAUGCAUUUCAUUUGUUUGUUCUGUGGAAUGGGGGUAAAUGUUUGUUAAUUUGCUCUCACACACACACACACACACACACACACACACACACACACCCAUAUGAAUGUGCAUGUACGGACAUGCACACACAAAUGCACACGUGUGCAUGCACAAACACACAAUAUAUGCACAUACACUCCCCAUAUUCUCACAUAUUUUAUUGUUGCAGCCAUUGAUUUAAAAUAAAACUGUUG